UAUACCUUCACCAACUAGCGCAUUUACGUAUUAAUUGUUUUGGGCUCUUCUUGUAUUUUUGCCUUAUGGACUAGGCCCAAACAACAUCACCGAAUCGGCAAUCGCAGCAAGUUCUGCGCAGCGCUUCUUCAUCGUCACAACCUUCCUUCCAAUUCUUUCCAAACCCUGGCUUCUUCAAUCCCCACCGCAGCAUCUCCGCCGCCCACAGCAUCUCCUUCCGCCUCCAAACCCUUCUCCAAUUCCCUCCACCACUUCCCAAAUCCUCACUUUCUGCAACUCCGACCUCUCUCCUCGCCCUCAGGUGCCUCUAAUAUUGUUGUCAAUCAUUAAGUCGGAUGAAUUUAGCACCGCAGUCAGCAAAGCUAAAGCCUACAUUCCAAUUCUUUAAAGACGGGGAAGAAGGUGGCUCAAGUUGUUGGUGCUAAUGUUGCUCGCUUGAGAAACACUUUUGGAAGUUUGGGAAAUACGACCUAGUAUUGGAAAACAAUAUAGUCAAGUCCUAAGUUCUUGUCUUGAUAACGGACAAAAUGAUUCAAACUUGUGAUCUCGUGUAAUAUUAUGAAAGAAAAUUAUUAAAACAACAAUUGUUGGGUUACCAUA